AUACGGAGGGUGCAAGCGUUAUCCGGAAUUAUUGGGUUUAAAGGGUCCGUAGGCGGCUAGAUAAGUCAGUGGUGAAAUUCUCUCGCUCAACGAGAGACCUGCCAUUGAUACUGUCUUGGCUAGAGUUACAGUGAGGUGAGUGGAAUGUGUGGUGUAGCGGUGAAAUGCAUAGAUAUCACACAGAACACCGAUUGCGAAGGCAGCUCACUAACUGUAUACUGACGCUGAUGGACGAAAGCGUGGGGAGCAAACAGGAUUAGAAACCCCAGUAGUCC
rnacentral:rRNA from 1 species